CAAUCAGAGACUCAAAUUCGGAAACGAUUGAUUUUUCCUUCAUACUACGGUGUUUUGACCGUGACCCAGUCGAGCUCCACAUCCCUCGCCGCUUCCUCAACUUAUCUCAACUUCCAGCGCGCCGGAGGAUGAGCAGAAGACGGAGUCGUUGCGGGCCGGCGAGCAGGUACUUAUCUCAACUUCCAGCGCGCCGCCACCACCUGCCGCUCCGCUGCGUGCCGCCACCACCGCCUCGCGCGCCGCCCUGGUCGCCGCCGCCGGCCUUGCGUCGCCUCAACGCCCGACCCCCGAGUCUCGCAGGCCCGCCACACACCUGCUCUCUUCCAACAAUUCCGUGCAUCCCGGCUCGAUUACUUCAGGGAGGAGGAGGAUGACGACGAGGCAGAGCUCCUGGACACGGUCACACGGCCGCCUGUCCCGGGAAGGUCUGCAGCAACGGUGGCCUCUGGUGCACGCGGAUGUCUGUGGAGGCGGAAAUUUAAUUCGACCUCACCUCGGGCUGCCGGCCUCCCCAAGUUCCUGCUGCCGGCGCCCUCCCGAAGCUCCUGCCGGCCUCCUCCCCGAGCCCCAAGCACGAACAAGGAAACCUUGACACACGCUUGCGUCCAGUAGCUCGAUCUGCUGGUGCUAGGAGGGGAUUACCAUUGGAGCUGCAGCAGGUGUUGAGCACUCAUAGUUUCAGAUCUUCCUGACAUCAAUAUGCCGCCGCGACCUUGACGGGCUGGGGCUCAAUGACGACACGCUCUGCCUUUUGGUGCACCUCUUUGCUGUGUUCGACAACCAAGGCGCGGCAAGUUACUCCGGGACUGAUAGAAUCACCACAAAUUGAGAUGAGGCAUUCAAUCGGGAUGGACACACUGACACUCGAGCAGUAGGAUCCCUUGAACUGAAGAAACGAAUACGAACUUAGGAAGAUACAUGCAAUUUAAGUUUGGUCCCGAUGACCAAUAAGCGAAGAACAACCUUCUCCAACUGACAGUGUUAUUCUCCUAAACAAUUUGCCAUUUUGGUAUUUGGAUGGGGAAUAAAGAAGAACAUUCAUCAUUAGUACUUGAAGAGACUUGCCUGGUUGGGGCAGAACAGGAUCUGCUAUAGUGCAUGUUACUUGACUGCUCACUGUACGACUUAAAUAAAAUCAAGACGUAGCGCAUGGCAGGGAGAUGAAGUGUUGAGAAAAAGGACGACGAUGUAAAGGGCAGAUGAUAGAGGAUUACUCAAUAAGUAUGCGGAGCUGCUAUAAAGUUUCCUCCUUUCUGUAUAGUUAUUUCACUAUCCACCUAAAUGUCAUCCCAUGUAUAUGUAGGAAACUAAUUUUGUGUUGCUAAAUUUUCUGUAUAUAUUUAAUAUUAUUCAGUGUUAAACUAAUAAUGAUCGAAACAAUGCUAGACUUACAUGUUGAUUCAUCAUUUGUAGACUUUUGGUUACAACAGAUAGAUAUGAGCAGUUUAGCACUAUUCUUACUUAUAUAUCAAAAUAUAUUAUGAUCAGCAGGCUAAAUCUACCACACGGGUCGUUAGCUCUGUUACCGUAACAUUGCACCAUCCUAACACGUGAGGAAAAUAAUUUCACAAGAUUCUCAUAUUAAGUAUCUAUUCAAAGAGGUAUGUGACAAUGUCUAUGUGCGGGAAGGAGAAAUUCACUCGGUAACAACUCCGAUGCUACGGCUUGCAUGCUGAGAGUUGAGACCUGCUGAGCUUACUCGUACUAUUGUGUGAUGUGUUAACUUACUUUUGUAGUUUCUAUAUGCCAACAUAUAUCAUGCUAUUUUAUGGUUAGUAGUAUUUCAACAUAAUUUUUCUAUUCAUGCAUUGAAGCAAAACUGCAGUUAGUUGCUACAGAGCUAGGAGAUCUUGGUGUAUAAUAAAAUAUAUUAAUAUGGAGGGGUUCCUUUGUCACCUGAUUUGAUAAGGUAUAUAGUACGGAAGUUUUUUUAUUUCAUAAUCAUAUUCUUGAUGUACUGUUUAAUGUAUUUUCUUUUCAGAGAUUUGCCCUUCAAAUUUUCUUGUGAUAGCUAAUUGCCUUUCUGUAAAACUCUUUGUGCGGAUUAGUUGAUAUGAUCAAUGGUCAAACUGUUUGAGUUUCAAAAUCAUUUUAACAUUUCAAAUUUGGGGGUUGUAUAUAUACAACCGGAUAUCAUGUGUAUCAUGCAUAGCGAUCUACUUUGUUCUGUCUGUUAGCAUUAAUUAAUGUCUACUUCUUGAUUAUAUUUGAUAUACUUCAGAUGGUGAGCAUGAUUGUGGGGAUGGUGCGUAUGAGGAUUUUUUUUCCCUUCUCCCAUUGGAACACACAGGUAUAUUUGGGUUUAUAAUAUGGGUUGUUGCCCCAGUUGCUUUUGCUUGGCGAUAAUGGCAAUGCAGUUAUCACCAUGUUUGCACCGUUCUUCACAUGGACAUCCCUACGCUCCUUAUGUUACUGGUCACCAUCACUGUUGAUUAUUUCUCCUUCUAUUCUUUUAUCCAAUAGGUAUUCUCUUACUACAUAUAAAUUUGGAGGACAAAGCAUUUAUUCUGUUGAUAUAUUAAACCCCAAAUUGCUGAGAUGUAACGUCUUCUAUCUGAAUUUGUUUCAUAAAAUUAAUCAUUGGUUUAGUUUGAUAGAUUAAACCCAAAUUAGUUUAUGGACUGAACUAGAAAUAACACAAUCACAUAUUAGUUUUCUUUUUAAAUUUCAUAGUAGAGAUUUAGCCGUCGAUGACCCACUACACGUGGAUGCCACAUCCUUUCUUCCUCACCUAUCGCGCGAAUUUUCAAUGCCGGUCCACUGCGAUCAGGGUACUUGAGGCAGAUAGCUAUAUUCAGCGCAAGUUAUUGAUAUAUUUCUUCAACUACCUCUCAUUUACUGCAUGUUGAUUUUCUCAUGAACUGCUUGCUGCAAAUAUAGGGAGGAGUGGGAGUGCUGUCUUCAUGAAAUUGAGUAUCUCAGAAGAAUUUGGUUUGGCACUUAUUUUCCUCAACCUGUUAUUCUUCAAAUGUGCUUCCCAUGGAUUUGAUAAAUUUGGUGAGAUAAUGUUAUGUGUCAGGUAUGGCCAUAAGAUACUCAUGAAACUUAUUUUAUUUUGCCUCACACAAGAUGUAUGUUGUUUAGACUCAUGUACUGCCAGUACUGGUAGAUCGAUGAUCUAAGGAUCAUAUGAAUGAUUAAUGGAGGAUAAUUCAUAUUCAGUUCUCCUCUCAAUUUUUGUGGUGCCAAGCUUGAUCUUUAUCCAUCUAACUGACUGAAAGUGCCUUCUAAUCACUAUUGAACGCAUAUGUUAGUUAGUUUGACUGUAUACACCACACAAAAAGUAAAAAAUGAAUUCUAGAAAAAAUUAGACACAAAUACUACAGAACCAGUGGACCCUCGAGAAACAAAAGGCACACCUAAAGGAUUUUUUUCUUAACAAAAUGUAUUAAUUUGACUAUUUGAGUAUAAAAAAUGUGCAAUCGCAAUCUUGCUUUUUCAAGGAAAACAGGGGACUGCUACAUACUCGAUAUGGAUCGAGGCUAAUUAUUGAUCUUCCAAGUUAAAAAAUCUGAAAAUAACUUUCAUUUAGUAAUGGAUACAUAGUCAAGAAAGGAUGCCUUUCCCGAAAGAUACAAAACAAAAUCGUGUUCGUGUAUGUCCGGCUGACAGAUGAAUCGAUCUCCUUUCAAGUAUCAACCCAGCAACCUUCGUGUACGUACAUGUGUGCAUCAAGGAUGCACGGGUCCAUUGGCCUGCGUACCACACAUCCCUUCACUAAUUCCAUCAGUAUCAUUCUUAACAAGGUAAGUAUGAUUCCCUAAUCCCUGAUUUUAUUAAUUGAUCUUUGAUGCUUCAUCCCUAAUGUCGUUAUACCUUAUUGAUUCUAUAAAAGAUCUCAAACAGGAACAUACCAUUUUUGAGGCUACGAUUCCUAUAACUUGCCUUGUCAAUUUGAUAAAAUUACAUGUGUAAUGGAGGUUGUAACUUAUUACGGUUUACAUUGUCAGAAUGAUAUCUGUGUCAUCUCUGAACAUAUGUAUAUAUUUGGUGUGCCGGAUUUUCUGAUGUAGAUGCUAUAUAAGAGGAAGCUAUUCGACAAUCCUGCUCAAGUUGGUACGGAUCAGAUCGAUUUUAUUCAGUAAAUAUUUAUGCUUGAUAGAUACAAGCCUCCCUCUUCUGUCCUUCUUUUCUCCAUCCUCUACAGGUCGCCAGCACAUGUGAAUCGUUCUCGUCAAGAGCAUGCUUGUGACAUCAUUACUAUAUGUGAUGCAGGGCAAAAGGAUGCUGUCAGAAUGUAAAAGCACAUUUAACCAUUUCCUGUUUUUUUCCUUGCCUGUUUUCGCCGUCGUAUACACUGCAUCUCCCACUGUAACGGACAGCCAAAUUUGUAUUCUUGAAAGUUUUAAUCAUUUCUAUUGCAACUAAGUGUUCAAGUGCAAUCUCUAGCCAAGUUCUCUUUGUUGUUGUGUUGAAUUUUGAGGAAAGGCGGCCAAGCAGCUCGUGGCAUCUGUGUCACGCCUGCUCUGCCGCUGCCUUGACCCGCCGACGACAUCGUCGGUUGAGCCGCAAGGGUGCAAGAUCAUCGUGGGGCCCAUUGCAUGGGCUCCGAGUAUGCUUGAUUGCCAUGUCGGAGGCGAAGGUGCUAGAGCUUGGUGGCGUGUUUGCAUUUCUGGAUGCAUGAAUAAUUGUCAAGGAGGCCGAAGCCAGCGCUAUUACAGUUGGACUGAAGGAAUUGUAUAACGUAUUCUGAGGCUCCUUGGUGGUGGAGAUCGACUACGCAGUGGGGAAAUGAGCUAGGGGCUGAUUCUAACUGUCAAGAGGGACAAACAAUGGGCUGGCUCAUGAACUAGCCAAUGAUUCUAAAGCUCAUGGAGACCUUGUGGUUGCGUAUGGUGUCCCGGACCAACUCCAUGAUCAGCUCUGGAAGGAAAACAAUGCAGCCUUGACGUCGGCCUAAGUCUUGAUGUAAUCCUCAAAAAAGAUACUGCUUGCAGACAUGUUAUACAUAAACAUGCAUGUUGUAGGUCUGUUAAUUUUAAUUUUGAAUACUGAGAUCUAUUCAGAUGCUUUCCUUA